UAUACUUUAGUAUAAAGUACAAAGAUUUUUGAUAUCUUAAGUAAUAAUUAAUUUUAUUAAGUAUAA
rnacentral:tRNA from 1 species